rnacentral:rRNA from 1 species
UACGUAGGGUGCAAGCGUUGUCCGGAAUUAUUGGGCGUAAAGAGCUCGUAGGCGGUCUGUCGCGUCGGAUGUGAAAAAUCAGGGCUCAACCCUGGACCUGCAUUCGAUACGGGCAGACUAGAGUUCGGUAGGGGGAGACUGGAAUUCCUGGUGUAGCGGUGAAAUGCGCAGAUAUCAGGAGGAACACCGGUGGCGAAGGCGGGUCUCUGGGCCGAAACUGACGCUGAGGAGCGAAAGCGUGGGGAGCAAACAGG